UAUAUUCCAGAGCCUUGUAACGGGAUGCGAUCCGAAGCCUCCUGAAGAUUCCAUCCAACUCCUAUUCCGACACGUCCACGUCGUGCAGGGUGGUAACAUGUGCCCAAACCUAACCUAUUUAGGCGGGUGAUGGCACAUGGCUAAGGAGGAAGGG
rnacentral:ribozyme from 1 species